GGAGUUUAAGCUUCCAACCUCUUGCCGUGUUAUAAUGUUGAUGAACAAAUUUGAUUCUUAUAUUUCCAAAACAUGUCAAGAGUAAUUUUGUUUAACACUUACAAACUUACAGUUAGUAUUCUCAAAACAGUAAGUCAAAUCAUGGGACCAAAAAAUUUCAAAAAAUAAUCAUCUGCAUGCAUUGUACAUAACUUGGACAUAGAUGGAAUAUAAUGCAUUCUACCAUGCAUAUCAAUAUUUAGGGUCUCCAGUGUUAAAAAAAAAUUUAGGGUCUCCGCAAAAAAAAUCCAAUAUUUAGGACUUCACAAAAAAAGGUAUGUAUCGUCGUAAUAUUUGUGAGAAUGGCCCUUCAGCUCGACCUUUUUUUUAGGGAAGACCCCUCGACCUUUUGCGUCCUGCCUUAUGCUAAAAUGUGGUUUUGGGCCAGCAGAGUAACACACAGCUAUAAGGGCCUGGAAGCUUGCCACUGGGUCAGUUUGUAUGGAGGCCCACUCAGAAACGCCAACACAGGUGAGUUGUUCCCUGCCUUAGCUCAAAAAAAAAGUGAGUUCCCUGCCUCUAUGUCGAGCGGCUCUUAGAAAAAGAAAAGAUUCUUCUGAAAAAAAUGAACUCUCAACCGGAGCAGCACCGCGCCGCCGCCCCUCCCCCCGUCUCUGGCCCCGCGACCCGACGAACGCCGACCCGAGGACCGCGAGAGGGAGAAGGGGCAGCGCACGACCUGGACAUCCGGCAAUCGGCCUCGGCUGGUCGCCUCGCCCAGCCCAAUCGUCAUCAGCAGCCAUGGCGGCGCCUGAAUCCGGCAGCCACGGCCUCAAAAGAGCACACGCCGGCAGGUGGAACACUUCACGCCUCCACGGCUGCUCCGCUAUUGCGCCGGCGAUUAGCACCGACCGUAGCAUCAGUGCAUCAGCAUACGGUACUCAGUAGGCAGCAGCACCGUUACAAAAAUAAAGAACAAGUCGGGUGAUUGAAACAUUUCUGCACCCAUUCCUUGCUUACAAAAGAAAUAUAAUGAAGUUAAACUCUUCUGCAGGUGUUAUGUCAAGGUAUCACCAUGGCAAAGAUCCCCUUUGCUGCUAACCAGGAGGCAGGAACUUGAGAAUUGUUUCAGAACUAUGAAGUGAGAGCACUCUGAAGUUUGAUGUGCACUUGACGCUUGAUCAUUGCACUUCCCCUGAUGAGUUCGGAUCUGAUUCUGCUCAUUGUGAUGUAGCCCCAGCAUGUAGAAGCCACAACAUCUAUGCUGAUGUUCGUAAAUUUCCUUCUUGGUUUAUCUCCUGUGUCAGUUCCUGCAAAUUGGUAGAGGGCGCAGUGCGCCGACUCAUGGUCUUGCUUCCCAGGUGCAUCAGAUUAGUAUUAGUAAUCUACUAUGGAUGGGGCAUGUCCAUCCAUUGUUGAGUUGGCUUGUAAUGACUCUGUAACUCUGAUUCCGUAUGAGUAUUCAGAAAAUAAAGGAAACUGACCUAUGCCCA